rnacentral:ncRNA from 2 species
UUACGACCAAUGGGGAGCUCGCGAGAUGCGGGCUGAGAGGGAGCGUAUGCCCGCUCCGACCCUAUGAACCUGAUGCGGGUAAUGCCGUCGAAGGGAGUGCGUAUGUCGCAGCCA